ensembl:Y_RNA Y_RNA Y RNA
GGCUGGUCCGAAGGUAGUGAGUUAUCUCGAUUGUUCACAGUCAGUCACAGAUCGAACUCCUUGUUCUACUCUUUCCCCCCUUCUCACUACUGCACUUGACUAGUCUUAA